rnacentral:rRNA from 1 species
UGGGGAAUAUUUGACAAUGGGCGCAAGCCUGAUCCAGCCAUGCCGCGUGAGUGAUGAAGGCCCUAGGGUUGUAAAGCUCUUUCACCGGUGAAGAUAAUGACGGUAACCGGAGAAGAAGCCCCGGCUAACUUCGUGCCAGCAGCCGCGGUAAUACGAAGGGGGCUAGCGUUGUUCGGAUUUACUGGGCGUAAAGCGCACGUAGGCGGACUUUUAAGUCAGGGGUGAAAUCCCGGGGCUCAACCCCGGAACUGCCUUUGAUACUGGAAGUCUUGAGGAUGGUAGAGGUGAGUGGAAUUCCGAGUGUAGAGGUGAAAUUCGUAGAUAUUCGGAGGAACACCAGUGGCGAAGGCGGAUCACUGGACCAUUACUGACGCUGAGGUGCGAAAGCGUGGGGAGCAAACAGG